AUUGAACGCUGGCGGCAUGCUUUACACAUGCAAGUCGAACGGUAACAGGCCGCAAGGUGCUGACGAGUGGCGAACGGGUGAGUAAUGCAUCGGAACGUGCCCAGUCGUGGGGGAUAACGCAGCGAAAGCUGCGCUAAUACCGCAUACGAUCUGUGGAUGAAAGCGGGGGACCGUAAGGCCUCGCGCGAUUGGAGCGGCCGAUGUCAGAUUAGGUAGUUGGUGGGGUAAAGGCUCACCAAGCCAACGAUCUGUAGCUGGUCUGAGAGGACGACCAGCCACACUGGGACGGAGACACGGCCCAGACUCCUACGGGAGGCAGCAGUGGGGAAUUUUGGACAAUGGGGGCAAGCCUGAUCCAGCAAUGCCGCGUGCAGGAAGAAGGCCUUCGGGUUGUAAACUGCUUUUGUACGGAACGAAACGGUCCUGGUUAAUACCUGGGGCUAAUGACGGUACCGUAAGAAUAAGCACCGGCUAACUACGUGCCAGCCGCCGCAGUAAAAC
rnacentral:rRNA from 1 species